rnacentral:rRNA from 1 species
GAACGGAUCGUAGCAAUACGGUCAGUGGCGCACGGGUGAGUAACGCGUAGAUAAUCUACCUUCCAGCGGGGGAUAACGUUCCGAAAGGAACGCUAAUACCGCAUAAGACCACGGAGUCUUCGGGCUUUGGGGGAAAAGGUGGCCUCUCCUUGGAAGCUAUCACUGGAAGAUGAGUCUGCGUCCCAUCAGCUAGUUGGUGAGGUAAUGGCUCACCAAGGCUAAGACGGGUAGCUGGUCUGAGAGGAUGAUCAGCCACACUGGUACUGGAACACGGACCAGACUCCUACGGGAGGCAGCAGUGGGGAAUAUUGGGCAAUGGGCGGAAGCCUGACCCAGCCACGCCGCGUGAGUGAUGAAGGCCUUCGGGUUGUAAAGCUCUGUGGGAAGGGGCGAAAAACUGCGAAGAGAAUAUCUAGCAGGUUGACGGUACCUUCUUAGCAAGCACCGGCUAACUCUGUG